rnacentral:rRNA from 1 species
UUGCUGGAUGCUGACGAGCGGCGGACGGGUGAGUAAUGCAUAGGAAUCUGCCCGAUAGUGGGGGAUAACCUGGGGAAACCCAGGCUAAUACCGCAUACGUCCUACGGGAGAAAGGGGGCUCCGGCUCCCGCUAUGGGAUGAGCCUAUGUCGGAUUAGCUAGUUGGUGAGGUAACGGCUCACCAAGGCCACGAUCCGUAGCUGGUCUGAGAGGAUGAUCAGCCACAUCGGGACUGAGACACGGCCCGAACUCCUACGGGAGGCAGCAGUGGGGAAUAUUGGACAAUGGGGGCAACCCUGAUCCAGCCAUGCCGCGUGUGUGAAGAAGGCCCUCGGGUUGUAAAGCACUUUCAGCGAGGAAGAACGCCUAGCGGUUAAUACCCGCUAGGAAAGACAUCACUCGCAGAAGAAGCACCGGCUAACUCCGUGCCAGCAGCCGCGGUAAUACGGAGGGUGCAAGCGUUAAUCGGAAUUACUGGGCGUAAAGCGCGCGUAGGUGGCUUGAUAAGCCGGUUGUGAAAGCCCCGGGCUCAACCUGGGAACGGCAUCCGGAACUGUCAAGCUAGAGUGCAGGAGAGGAAGGUAGAAUUCCCGGUGUAGCG